rnacentral:rRNA from 1 species
AGGACGAACGCUGGCGGCGUGCUUAACACAUGCAAGUGGAGCGACGAACCAGGGCUUGCCCUGGGGCAGAGCCGCGAACGGGUGAGUAACACGUGGGUUACCUGCCUCGAUGACCGGGACAACCCGAGGAAACUCGGGCUAAUACCGGAUGUGCCCGCAAGGGGAAAGGAAGCUUCGGCCUCCGCAUCGAGAUGGGCCCGCGGCCCAUUAGCUUGUUGGUGAGGUAACGGCUCACCAAGGCUUCGAUGGGUAGCUGGUCUGAGAGGACGAUCAGCCACACUGGGACUGAGACACGGCCCAGACUCCUACGGGAGGCAGCAGUGGGGAAUCUUGCGCAAUGCGCGAAAGCGUGACGCAGCAACGCCGCGUGGGGGAAGAAGGCUUUCGGGUUGUAAACCCCUUUCAGUUGGGACGAAGCUUCUCCGGUGAAUAGCCGGAUGGAGUGACGGUACCUUCACAAGAAGCACCGGCUAACUACGUGCCAGCAGCCGCGGU